AGGGUUCUUGGCGAGGGGUCUGCAGCUAGCUAGAGCCUUUUUGGAUGUGUACUAGACGACCUCCAUCAGUUUAUGUAGUUUAGUACAGAGUUGUAUAUUAAGUUUUUGUAAAUUGUACUUUGUUCUUAUUUACUGUAUUAAGGUUUUGGAUUGUAUAAGUUUAAACUUUUAAGUCUUGCUCUGAUUACCUAUUUAGAUUUGUAUGCUUUUAUUAUAUUGAUUGUAGACGCCUGGUGUAUGCUUGAGUUGUGGUGUACACGGCGGGUCUGUGCACGCGACCGGAUAUGUUUCUGUUGGUACCCGGGC
rnacentral:lncRNA from 1 species